AACCUUCCAUGUCUAGUAUAGCAAUUAUACAGCGAAACUGCGAAUGGCUCAUUAUAUAAGUUAUCGUUUAUUUGAUAGUGCCUUACUACUUGGAUAACCGUGGUAAUUCUAGAGCUAAUACAUGCUAAAACGCUCGACUUCGGAAGGGUUGUAUUUAUUAGAUUAAAAACCAAUGCCCUCUGGGCUCACUGGUGAUUCAUAAUAACUUCGCGAAUCGCAUGGCCUUGCGCCGGCGAUGGCUCAUUCAAAUUUCUUCCCUAUCAACUUUCGAUGUUUGGGUAGUGGCCAAACAUGGUUGCAACGGGUAACGGAGGGUUAGGGCUCGACCCCGGAGAAGGAGCCUGAGAAACGGCUACUACAUCCAAGGAAGGCAGCAGGCGCGCAAAUUACCCAAUCCCGAUUCGGGGAGGUAGUGACAAUAAAUACUGAUACAGGGCUCUUUUGGGUCUUGUAAUUGGAAUGAGUACAAUUUAAAUCCCUUAACGAGGAACAAUUAGAGGGCAAGUCUGGUGCCAGCAGCCGCGGUAAUUCCAGCUCUAAUAGCGUAUAUUAAAGUUGUUGUGGUUAAAAAGCUCGUAGUUGAACCUUGGGCCUGGCUGGCAGGUCCGCCUCACCGCGUGUACUUUGCCGGCCGGGCCUUUCCCUCUGUGGAACCCCAUGCCCUUCACUGGGUGUGGCGGGGAAACAGGACUUUUACUUUGAAAAAAUUAGAGUGCUCCAGGCAGGCCUAUGCUCGAAUACAUUAGCAUGGAAUAAUAAAAUAGGACGUGUGGUUCUAUUUUGUUGGUUUCUAGGACCGCCGUAAUGAUUAAUAGGGACAGUCGGGGGCAUCAGUAUUCAAUUGUCAGAGGUGAAAUUCUUGGAUUUAUUGAAGACUAACUACUGCGAAAGCAUUUGCCAAGGAUGUUUUCAUUAAUCAGGAACGAAAGUUAGGGGAUCGAAGACGAUCAGAUACCGUCGUAGUCUUAACCAUAAACUAUGCCGACUAGGGAUCGGACGAUGUUAUUACUUGACUCGUUCGGCACCUUACGAGAAAUCAAAGUGCUUGGCUCCAGGGGAGUAGCGACUG
rnacentral:rRNA from 1 species